CAGUCGCCGCGGUAAUACGAAGGGUGCAAGCGUUACUCGGAAUUACUGGGCGUAAAGCGUGCGUAGGUGGUUUGUUAAGUCUGUUGUGAAAUCCCCGGGCUCAACCUGGGAAUGGCAAUGGAUACUGGCAAGCUAGAGUGUGUCAGAGGAUGGUGGAAUUCCCGGUGUAGCGGUGAAAUGCGUAGAGAUCGGGAGGAACAUCAGUGGCGAAGGCGGCCAUCUGGGACAACACUGACGCUGAGGCACGAAAGCGUGGGGAGCAAACAGGAUUAGAUACCCGAGUAGUCCCUGUCUCUUAUAC
rnacentral:rRNA from 1 species